rnacentral:rRNA from 1 species
UUGAACGCUGGCGGCGUGCUUAACACAUGCAAGUCGUGCGGUAACAGGCGUAGCAAUACGUGCUGACGAGCGGCGAACGGGUGCGUAAUACAUGGGAAUCUGCCCUUUAGUGGGGAAUAACCCGGCGAAAGCCGGGCUAAUGCCGCAUAAGAUCUUCGGAUGAAAGCGGGGGAUCGUAAGACCUCGCGCUGAUGGAUGAGCCCAUGUCGGAUUAGCUAGUUGGUGAGGUAACGGCUCACCAAGGCGACGAUCCGUAGCUGGUCUGAGAGGACGGCCAGCCACACUGGGACUGAGACACGGCCCAGACUCCUACGGGAGGCAGCAGUGGGGAAUAUUGGACAAUGGGGGAAACCCUGAUCCAGCGACGCCGCGUGUGUGAAGAAGGCCUGCGGGUUGU